rnacentral:antisense_RNA from 3 species
AACCUAACAAAAUUAAGUGAAUACCCAAAAUUGUAGUCACUUUAUUUCUAUCUUUCCA